AUGAACGUUGGCGGCGUGGAUUAGGCAUGCAAGUCGAGCGAUAAGCCCCGCAAGGGGCUGAAAGCGGCGAAAGGGAGAGUAACGCGUGGAUAUCUGCCCUCGGGACCGGGAUAGCCGCGGGAAACUGCGGGUAAUACCGGAUAACGUCUCCGGACCAAAGGUGGGAUUCCGCCUGAGGAUGAGUCCGCGUCCUAUUAGCUUGUUGGUGGGGUAACGGCCUACCAAGGCAUUGAUGGGUACUGGGUGUGAGAGCACGACCCAGCUCACUGGGACUGAGACACUGCCCAGACACCUACGGGUGGCUGCAGUCGAGAAUCUUCGGCAAUGGGCGCAAGCCUGACCGAGCGACGCCGCGUGCGGGAUGAAGGCCUUCGGGUUGUAAACCGCUGUCGGAGGGGAGGAAGUGCUCGGGGGUUCUCCCCCGGGUUUGACCUAUCCUCGGAGGAAGUACGGGCUAAGUUCGU
rnacentral:rRNA from 1 species